GUAGUUGGAUCAAUAAUUCAAGACGUAUAUUCCUCAAAAAGCUCAUGUCCAAUGUAUGUUAGCCUGCCGUUAUAUUUUUCAUCUGGUAAGCUUCUGAUAUGUCAUAUAUCAUUCAAUUAAAACUAUUGAUUAUUAGAUGUAGGAAAAAAUGGUUCUUUUACUCUCAUUAUGGUUACUAUGUCAACACAAAUUAUUUGUAGGUCUCAUCUUUGUAACAUGUACCUGUAACUAAUUCCUGGGUUAAUGUGCAACAUUUUGUUUUUAACUGGUAAAAUAUUCUGCUUUUGAACUUCUCAUUUGAAAUGUAAAUAAUCAGAUGAAUAAUCAUGAUGAUUGAGAAUUUGGGAUAAAGAGUGACUGGUUGAUUGUUUGAAUGGGAUCGAAUUUUUGCUGAUUAUCUUGAUAGUUUGGGAUUGAAAGUUAGUUCAGUUGAGUGGUAUGACAUACUUUAAUUGAACAAUUUAUGCUUGCCACUUUUUACCCAUUUCAUUCCUACACACCCUAAAUUCUUAGUCACUAUUUUUUCUUUGCUGCUGAGAUUUCAGGAAUGCCUCUUUCCAAUUGUACUUUGCUGGGUGUCAUAGAAAUCAUUUUCCUAAUGCUGGCAUUUUUUGUUUGUUGACUCAAUGAUGCGGUUUGCCCAUUUGGGUCUGGGGAAUCUAGCCAUCAUCUUGUGGAAUUUGAGCCAACUUUAGGCCCUUUGCAAGACUGAGGCUUAUGUUUCUGAUAUUUUUGUACAGCUGGAUUCAUGUUUUUUUCUUUCUUGUAUUUUCUUUUUCCCAGAUUUCUUGGAUAGUUGCAGGCUCAAAAAAGUUGGUAGUUUGUCUGUUCUGUCCUUUGGGCUUCUCUUGUAUAGUUCCCAUGUACUUGGUUGUUGCCAUUACGCGACUCACAAAUAUACACUUCACAAGAAAGAGAAAACCAAUUCUCACUUAUCUACUGUGAUGAGACAACAGUGUGGUUGAGAGGGUUACUAAAGUAUCAUAUAUAGUGAUUAUGAAACAGAAGAAUAACCAAAUUGUGAGACAUCUAUCAGAAUGCCGUUGUGAGAUUCUGCAAAAAAUCUCCACUUUUGUCCAUUUAUUUAGGGUUCAUCUUUCUCACAUUUGUCAGUGCCUAAGAAGAUUUUUUUUUUGAAGACUUCUUAGUGGAGUU
rnacentral:misc_RNA from 1 species